UACGUAGGGUCCGAGCGUUGUCCGGAAUUAUUGGGCGUAAAGCGUGCGCAGGCGGCUGCUCAAGUCAGGGGUGAAAGCCCGAGGCUCAACCUCGGAACUGCCUUCGAUACUGCGGGUCUCGAAGUCCGGGAGAGGUGAGUGGGAAUUCCUAGUGUAGAGGUGAAAUUCGUAGAUAUUAGGAAGAACACCAGUGGCGAAGGCGGCUCACUG
rnacentral:rRNA from 1 species